ACUUUCUUCUCUCUCGUUCACUUUCCUUUUUUCCCCAUUUCUCACUUUCUUCUCUUCUCUUCUCUCUUCUCUCUCUCGUUCACUCUCUUCUCUUCUCUCUUUCGUUCACUCUCCUUCACUCAUUCAAGCAAGUUCAAGUAGGUGAAUUUGAUUUUCUUCAUUGUUGUGAGUUCAACAACACCAAAUCAAAUGGAAGCUUCUUCCAAGG
rnacentral:lncRNA from 1 species